GGUAGAAUGGUCGAACGUAUAGGCGGCGGAUUGUAACUCCGAGAACAGAGGUUUAACUCCUCUUUUUACCAC
rnacentral:tRNA from 1 species